rnacentral:rRNA from 1 species
CCAACCCAAGAUGAGACAUCCCUUUCCCAUAAGGGAUCUAAAGGCGCCUUCGAGACGAGGAGGUUGAUAGGUUGCAGGUGGAAGUGCAGUAAUGUAUGAAGCCGAGCAAUACUAAUAAGCCGUGAGGCUUAACCUU